GUAUAUCUUCUGGAGUGAGGAGCGCUCAGCCCGGUAGUUUGAGAGUAUUUAGAAGCCACUUCUCUUGCUGUCGAGAGACAUCAACUUCAGGGGUCCGGUGAUGUUCAUAGGGGCUCGUUUCCAUGCAGUGGAUAUAGAGGGACAUGAUACGAGGUACUGAACUCUUGUACUAUGUUGCAUACAGUACACAUGAACUGGCUGAUGAGUAACAGCAGAUAACACACACCCAGAUUUUACAUUCUAACAACCUCACUCAAGACUGAACUAAGACCCCAAUUAGAGUCAGGUGUGUGUGUGUGUGUGUGUGCUCGUCAGCAUUCUAGUUGAGCUGAAGGUCCGGUCCUGGUGUACAGCGUUAAUUCAUCCUUCUGUUGUAUUCAAGAUGCAUCUUUUUUUUCUUGUGUUGUGUGUGCAUCUGUAUUCCUCCAGCUGUUCAGCUAACAAAGGUGUGCAGACUGCCAUGCGAGCAGCAACAAGAGUCCAAUCAGUGACUCUCCAGCCGUGGUUGGUGGGUCUCACGGCUGUAGUCGGUUUCCUCUUCAUCGUCUUCACCGUUCUCAUUGUUCAUAGACUACUAAAGAAAAACGGGGAGGAUGAAGAGGGGUUAAGGUACAAGAGAAAGGCUGAUGGGAUGGAUGAAGAUAACAAACAAACCAGUCUAUAGAGUCUGCAGCACCACAGACACCAACACAGCUGCUUUAGAUCCACUUCUGUCAGAGUUUAGCAAGAGUUAUCAUGUCUCUGUUGAUCUUGUUAUUCGCUCUUUUCUUUUUCAAAUAUAGAAAUGAAUGAAUAUUUGAAUAUUUCCCUCCACAUACAGGAACUGGUCUGGUUUUCUGUCCCCACACGAGGGGGCCUUAACAGUCAAUGACUUGACUUCACAGAAAUGAAUGUAACUGUUCACAUGAUGUAAAACUGGCCUCCUGACUAGUUUCAUGACAAUGGCAAUAAUGUGAAUUAUACGCUGUGGCCUCUUUGGUCCUUAUAUCUCAUGGGGGGGGCUCUCCACCACCAUUGAAAUAGCAAAUUACAAGAAGCCCUGAGACUGGUCUGUAUGCUCCCAAUGGAAGAACAUGUCGUUUUUACGGUUGGUCCUUCCAUUUGUGACUAAUGCUGACUGAACCAGCUGCCCUCACUGACCCAAAGCCUGCCUUGUUACUUCCUCCCUCCUGUUGAUCAAUAAGUUCUACCCAUCCAUCCUUUUUUUGCUGCUUGCAUUCAUCAGCCGUGAAAAAUUCUGCUUGAGCAAGAUUUAACCGAAUAAAUAACUUAAUAAGUUAU